rnacentral:rRNA from 1 species
GCGGCGGACGGGUGAGUAAUGUCUGGGAAACUGCCUGAUGGAGGGGGAUAACUACUGGAAACGGUAGCUAAUACCGCAUAACGUCGCAAGACCAAAGAGGGGGACCUUCGGGCCUCUUGCCAUCAGAUGUGCCCAGAUGGGAUUAGCUAGUAGGUGGGGUAAUGGCUCACCUAGGCGACGAUCCCUAGCUGGUCUGAGAGGAUGACCAGCCACACUGGAACUGAGACACGGUCCAGACUCCUACGGGAGGCAGCAGUGGGGAAUAUUGCACAAUGGGCGCAAGCCUGAUGCAGCCAUGCCGCGUGUGUGAAGAAGGCCUUCGGGUUGUAAAGCACUUUCAGCGAGGAGGAAGGUGGUGAACUUAAUACGUUCAUCAAUUGACGUUACUCGCAGAAGAAGCACCGGCUAACUCCGUGCCAGCAGCCGCGGUAAUACGGAGGGUGCAAGCGUUAAUCGGAAUUACUGGGCGUAAAGCGCACGCAGGCGGUUUGUUAAGUCAGAUGUGAAAUCCCCGGGCUCAACCUGGGAACUGCAUUUGAAACUGGCAAGCUAGAGUCUCGUAGAGGGGGGUAGAAUUCCAGGUGUAGCGGUGGAAUGCGUAGAGAUCUGGAGGAAUACCGGUGGCGAAGGCGGCCCCCUGGACGAAGACUGACGCUCAGGUGCGAAAGCGUGGGGAGCAAACAGGAUUAG